UUAAUUCACUGAUGGGUUUGAGAUUCCCUGAUUUAGCCAUUCUGCUGAAGUGGUUUCCCGGGGUAUGACCACUAUACAUGCUACAGCUUCUUGGACCUAUGGGUAGAGGUGAACACUAAAGAUGAAAAGCAGCCCUGAGAAAAGCCAGCCUUCACACCACAGAAACAUGUUGAGAAUCCCUGUCACUUCUGGCUCUCCCAGGGCUUGGACAUCACGUUCUGUUUGGGCAGAGUAGCUGAAGGCGUUGCGGACCAAGUACCACCAGAGAGCACUGUUGGAUAGUAUAGACAAGCCCCAUGUUUCCCUCCACACUGGAGCGGGAGGACUGACAGCAAGGAGAGAGGAGUGCUGAAUGCAGCUGCUGCCUUGGCCCGGGGAUGGGAACUGGGAGCUGCUGGUCAGAAGAGCAAUCCAAAGUAGAGAAUGAUAAUAUGAAUAUGGAUAAUCAUAAGACCUCGAGGAAAAUAGAACUCCAUAGAGAGGUAAGG